rnacentral:lncRNA from 1 species
GAAUUUGAGGAUGACGUCAAGUCAUCAUGCCCCUUAUGCCCUGGGCGACACACGUGCUACAAUGGCCGGGACAAAGGGUCGCGAUCCUGCGAGGGUGAGCUAACUCCAAAAACCCGUCCUCAGUUCGGAUUGCAGGCUGCAACUCGCCUGCAUGAAGCCGGAAUCGCUAGUAAUCGCCGGUCAGCCAUACGGCGGUGAAUUCGUUCCUGGGCCUUGUACACACCGCCCGUCACACUAUGGGAGCUGGCCAUGCCCGAAGUCGUUACCUUAACCGCAAGGAGGGGGAUGCCGAAGGCGGGGCUAGUGACUGGAGUGAAGUCGUAACAAGGUAGCCGUACUUCAACACUUUGGAGCUGAAUUCAGGCCAUGUAUUCAAAUUCUUAAAUGAAGGGCCAAGCAAAACUUGAUGCAGAUAAUUUGAUUCUAGAUUUUAAAUGAUCAUCUGCAGUAAUUUACAAUAAAAAAAAGUUCACGAGUUUUGAUAGGGGAAAAAAUGGAUCAUUUAGCCUACAAUUAAAAGGGCGCCCAGUUUUGGCCCAGUAAACAUCAACGACAAUCAGCUGAAUCUUCACUUCAGCCCAGGGUCAGCUCGUCUUCGGGACUCCGCCAAAAGCUCCACCAACUUCAGAUAUUUGUUGACUCUCCUGACCAAACUCGGGGUGCCUCCAGACAUUCGCUGACUCGCCCCGACCAAGCUCGGGGCGCUUACGUUAACAAUAUACCCUGACCCUCGAGCUCGGGGCGCUCUCCCGAGCACGUCUCGGAACUCGUAAAACCGAGCUACUCGCAACACCCGCCAAGCCGACCUCGUCAAAUACAUGAUGAGACUACUUAGCGAGCCCGGCUUCGCCAAUGACCACACCCAUGUGCGGGCCUACGCCCACCUACGUGGUCGUACUUCACAACACUACCGCGUCAUGUCUCCAUAACCGGCCUUCAGCAGUCAGAUGACACCUUGACUACUCCGGACAUACCCUGCCGUAACUGUCAACAACACCCUAUCGUUUUCAGGAACGGGCGGUACUGCACGCCACCAGCCAGCCUAAGCUGCACGCCAUCCGGCUCAGAGUCAUCUUCCCUUAUGAUGAGGGCUGACGGUGCCUCUGCCAUCUGAACCACUCCAUCGAGACUAUAAAUAGUUCGGACAGGUAACUUCUAAGGAACCUUUUUUUUGGCUGGACCAAAUUUACCCCACUCUAACUUGAUCGUCGGAGGGCUCUCACCGGAAACACCGAUGAGGCUUUGUACAGGUCCGCGACCGUCGCGCAGGAGGUAGCUCCCGUCUUCUUCUUCCAACCACUGGCGGCUCCUUCGACUCCACCGGCAUGGUCACCCUCGGGCCAAAUUUGAACCACAACAAGUUCUAUAACAAAAAAUAUAUAGUUUGAAAUUGGGGAUUGGUUUCAAGGAGAUAAAAAGGGGAAACAUUUAACCUUACAGAUUUACAUAAGAUAAAAAUAUUUUAUGUCUCAUUUUCUGGAAGAAAACAUAGGUUUACAGAAUAAUAGGUCCUAAUUGGUAUGAAACAUACAAGUUUUGGUGAUCACAUACGUAUCAAAAUGCUGUCAACAAAGAGCUAACCCAUAUAGGACAAGCGACAAAAA